GGCCCGGCCUGGCGCAGUGGUAACUGCGCUCUGUUGAAGGUUAAACGCGGGUUCAGCUCCCGCCUAGGGUCG